rnacentral:rRNA from 1 species
CUACGGGGUGCAGCAGUCACGGAAACUUUACAAUGCGCGAAAGCGUGAUAAGGGUAUCCCAAGUGCUUUGCUUAUUGUAAGGCUUUUGCCAAGUGUAAAGAGCUUGGCGAAUAAGUGGUGGGUAAGACUGGUGCCAGCCGCCGCGGUAACACCAGCGCCACAAGUGGUAACCACGUUUAUUGGGCCUAAAGCGUUCGUAGCCGGUUUGAUAAGUUUCUUGUGAAAUUGUUUGGCCUAACCAAACAACGUGCAAGAAAUACUGUCUAACUUGGGACCGGGAGGAGUUAGAGGUAUUCCAUGGGGAGCGGUAAAAUGCUAUAAUCCUUGGAGGACCACCAAUGGCGAAGGCUUCUAACUAGAACGGAUCCGACGGUCAGGAACGAAGGCUAGGGGAGCAAAACGGAUUAGAUACCCUUGUAGUC